rnacentral:lncRNA from 1 species
GGAAGGAGUUUCUGCAGAAGCACUCUGGGACGAUUGCAUUGGCUGUCACAUGGGCUACUUUGUGCAGGCGACAAAUACAGAGCACCCUUCGUGUCCCCGUGCUGUGCUGGACAGCAGAGUUAGCUCUGUUUACCUGCAGAAAGCUCUAAUCUUCACUGUGAAUGGGAUGACAUUCUGGUCCUCGGGUGGCACGACAGUGGAGGUUUCGUGGAUAAGAGGUAACUCAUGGAUAAGAUGACCAUUCUCUCUGC